AUAAUCUCUGAAAUAACGCGGCGGAGGGAAAAACGGGAGGGGAAAAAAAUCACCUGUAUCCCACAUUUACAGUGCAUUUAAAAGGGGCCACACACAUAUUUAGGCACUGGAACGCUACUAAGACUUGAUAGUUGGGUUAUUUUUAAUUCAGGGUGGUAAGCAACUGCCCAGAACAAGAGCUUUAGCAUAUUCUGGUAAAGUUGACUCCAACUCCAACGUCGUGACGGCCCUAUCCGAGCUCCACUAAUGACAAACUGGAAAUAACUCAUUUCAAGGCCAAUGUCAGGACUGCCGGCCACUCCACAGUCUACACACAUAUUGAGGUCAUCAACCAAAGACCACCGGUGGAAGAAAUCAUCAUCAAUGGCCUGUCCGAUGUCAACGGUGAAAUGCUCACGCUCACUGAAGACAUCUCCUGACCUGUCUGAUGAGACCGUGGACUCAACUUCCACUACACUUGGAGGUCAAAUACAGCUACAGAAAAAAUUUAUAACCCACAUUAAAUUAAUGCAAAUUAAUGAAAUUUAAGUUGUCCAUUCUAAGUCAAUAACAUGCUUUAGUGUUAGUGGUCUUAGAUUUUUUUUUCUUAUGUUUUCAUGAGAUUAUAUCAAAGAUAUUUAGUUUUGAUAUAUGUCUUACACGUAUUGUGUUGGACAUAAGACAUAACAUAUAGGACUGUUAGAAGAUAACAAGCUGAGUGUCCAUUCUCUGAGUCAAUGUUUUUUCCAGUAAUAGUGCUCUUUGCACUGAUAUUUUCACUAAAUGAGCAAAGCUAGACAUCCCCAUACAAUAGACAAUAGACAGUUUUCAUUUGGGGAGUUAUUGUUUAGCGUGCCAAAUGUCUGUUAAAUUGAUUUUUGGAGUUCAUAUAGUCUCCUGUUUGAACUGUUACCAUUUUUCCUUCCAUUUUCACUUGGGAGUCAUCCUUUAAGAAUCCAAAGCUGCUAUUUUUGAGAAUCCUCAGCAGAACUUUUUUUCCCUCUAUAUUUUUCUAUUUUUUUACAUUUUGUAUGUAUCUCUCGCAUUCUUUUUCAUGAUCUUAAAGAUAGAAACAUUGCCCUAUUUGGUCUGGUUUAAAUAUAUUUCAUAUACUUACUCAAAACUUAAUUCACCCUUAUAUGGACAAUUAACUGCCUUAUAUUGGUUGGAUUAUAUACGAACAUUUAGAAGUCUCACAGAAAUGUUAUGCGAACGCCAGUCUUAAAUUUUGAUGCCUGUACAGAGAAAUAGAAUUGUCCGCUAAAGCUUGAGAUGCACUGUUCUGUAUGUUGUCUGAUAACAUGCACUAAUUAGCUAGGAAUUAUGACCUAAUAAUGAUUUUUUUACUGAAUUUAAAUAAUUGAUAAAUAUUUAAUUUUUUUUUUUUUUUUUAUAAUGCAUUAAAUAAUGUACAGAUAUUUCUUAAUUUAAUGCAUAAUUGUUAAAAUAUUGAAUAGUUUUAUGCAUUCAAUUAUA